AUGUCUUCUUUGGAGAAUUGUCUAUGUAGAUCUUCUGCCCAUUUUUUGAUGGGGUUGUUUGUUUUUUUGGUAUUGAACUGCAGAAGCUGUUUAUAUAUUUUGGAGAUUAAUCCCUUGUCAGUCACUUCAUUUGCAAAUAUUUUCUCCCAUUCUGUGGGUUGUCUUUUUGUUUUGUUUAGGGUUUCCUUUGCUGUGCAUAAACUUUUAAUUAAGUCCCAUUUGUCUUUUUUUGUUUUUAUUGUCAUUACUCUAGGAGGUGGAUCUGAGAAGAUUCUUGCUGUGGUUUUGUCAGAGUGUUUGGCUUAUGUUUUCCUCUAAGAGUUUUUAUAGUAUCUGGCCUUAUAUUUAGGUCUUUAAUCCGUUUUGAGUUUAUUUUUGUGUAUGGUCUUAGGAAGUGUUCUAAUUUCAUUCUUUAACAUGUGGCUAUCCAGUUUUCCCAGCACCACUUAUUGAAAGGGCUGUCUUUUCUCCAUUGUAUAUACUUGCCUCUUUUGUCAUAGAUUAGUUGGAUGUAGGUGCAUGGGUUUAAUUCUGGGCUUUCUAUCCUGUUCCACUGAUCUAUAUUUCUGUCUUUGUGCCGGUACCACAUGGUUUUGAUGACUGUAGCUUUUUUUUUUUUUUUGUCUUUUUUGCCAUUUCUAGGGUCGCUCCUGCGGCAUAUGGGGGUUCCCAGGAUAGGGGUCUAAUCGGAGCUGUAGCCACCGGCCUACACCAGAGCCACAGCAGCGUGGGAUCUGAGCCACAUCUGCAACCUAUACCACAGCUCACAGCAACGUCAGAUCCUUAACCCACUGAACAAGGCCAGGGAUCGAAGCCACAACCUCAUGGUUCUUAGUUGGAUUCGUUAACCACUGUGCCAUGAUGGGAACUCCAGAUGACUGUAGCUUUAUAGUAUAGUCUGAAGUCAGGGAGCCUGAUUCCUCCAACUCCAUUUUUCUUUCUCAGGAUGGCUUUGGCUAUCCUGGGUCUUUUGUGCUUCCAAACAAACUUUAAAAUAUUUUGUUCGAGUUCUGUGAAAAAUGUCCUUGGUAAUUUGAUAGGGAUUGCAUUGAAUCUGUAGAUUGCCUUGGGUGGUAUAGUCCUUUUGACAGUGUUGAUUGUUCCAAUCCAAGAGCAUGGUAUGUCAUUCCAUCUGUUUCUGUCAUCUUUGAUUUCUUUCAUCAGCAUCUUAGAGUUUUCAGAGUACAGGUCUUUUGUCUCUUUAGUUAGGUUUAUCCCUAGGUAUUUUAUUCUUUUUGAUAUGAUGGUAUAUGCAAUUGUUUCCCUAAUUUCUCUUUCUGAUCCUUUGUUGUUAGUACAUAGAAAUGCAGUCGAUUUCUGUGUAUUAAUUUUGUAUGCUUGACUGCCAAAUUCACUGAGGAGCUCUAAAAGUUUUCUGGUAGCGUCUUUAGGAUUCUCUAGGUAUAGUAUCAUGUCAUCUGCAAAUAGUGAUAGUUUUACUUCUUCCUUUCCAAUUUGGAUUCCUUUUAUUUCUUUUUCUUCUCUGAUUGCCAUGGAUAGGACUCCUAAAACUAUGUUGAAGAGUAGUGGUGAGAGCAGACAUCCUUGUCUUGUUCCUGAUCUCAGAGGAACCAUUGGAAAUGAUGUUAGUUCUGGGUUUGUCGUAUAUGGCCUUUAUUAUUUUGAGGUAGGUUCCCUCUGUGCUGAAGGGUUUUUUUAACAGAAAUGGGUGUUGGAUUUUGUCAAAAGCUUUUUCUGAAUCUGUUGAGAGGAUCAUAUGAUUUUUAUUCCUCUGUUUGUUAAUGUGGUGUAUCACACUGAUUGAUUUGUGGAUAUUGAAGAAUCCUUGCAUCCUGGGGAUAAAUCCCACUUGAUCAUGAUAUACAAUCCUUUUAAUGUAUUGUUGGAUUCCAUUUGCUAAUAUUUUGUUGAGGAUUUUUGCAUCUAUAUUCAUCAGGGAAAUUGGCCUGUAAUUUUCUUUCUUUUUUUUUUUUUGUGAUAUCUUUGUUUGGUUUGGGUACCAGGGUGAUGGAGGCCUCAUAGCAAGAGUUUGAGAGUGUUCCUUCCUGUGCAAUUUUUUGGAAUAGUUUCAGAAGGACAGAUGUUAGCUCUUCUCUAAAUGUUUGACAGAAUUCACCUGUGAAGCCAUUUGGUCCUGGACUUUUGUUUGUUGGAAGUUUUUAAAUCAUAGUUCCAAUUUCAAUACUAGUGAUUGGUCCAUUCAUCUUUUCUAUUUUCUCUUGGUUUAGUCUUGGAAGAUUGCACUUUUCUAAGAAUUUGUCCAUUUCUUCUAGGUUGUCCAUUUUAAUAGCAUAUAGUUGCAUGUAGUAGCCUUUUAUGAUCCUUUGUAUUUCUGUGAUGUCCAUUGUAACUUCUCCUUUUUCAUUUCUAAUUUUAUAGAUUUGAGUCCUCUCUCUUUUUUUUCUCAAUAAGUCUAGCGAAGGGUUUAUUAAUUUUGUUGAUCUUUUCAAAGAACCAGCUUUUUUGGGGGGAGGGGUCUUUUUGCCUUUUCUAGGGUCGCUCCUGUGGCAUAUGGAGGUUCCCAGGCUAGGGGUCUAAUCACAGCUGUAGCCGCCAGCCUACGCCAGAGCCACAGCAACACUGGGAUCCGAGCUGCGUCUGCAACCUACACCACAGCCUGCGGCAACGCCAGAUCCUCAACCCACUGAGCAAGGCCAGGGAUCAAACCCGCAACCUCAUGAGAACGAGCUUUUAAUUUCAUUGAUCUUUUCUAUGGUUUUCUUUGUUUCUAUUUCUUUUAUUUCUGCUCUGACCUUUAUGAUUUCUUUCCUUCUGCUAACUUUGUGUCUUGUCUGUUCUUCUUUCUCUAGCUGCUUUAGAUGUAAAGUUAGGUUGUUUAUUUGAGCUUUUUCUUGUUUCCUGAGGUAGGCUGGUAUUACUAUAAACUUUCCUCGUAGAACUGCUUUUGCUGCAUCCCAUAUGUUUUGGAGUAUCGUAUCUUUGUCAUUUGCUUUUAGGUGUUUUUUAAUUUCCUCUCUAAUUUAUUCAGUGAUCCAUUGGUUGUUUAGUAGCAUGUUAUUUAGUCUCCACAUGUUUGUGUUUUUUGUAGUUUUUUUCUUGUUGAUUUCCAGUUGUAUAGCAUUGUGGUUGGAAAAUAUGGUUGAUAUGAUUUCAAUUUUCUUAAAGUUAAUGAGGCUUGAUUUAUGGCCCAGAAUGUGAUCAAUCCUAGAAAAUGUUCUGUGUGCACCUGAGAAGAAUGUGUAUUCUGCUGCUUUUGGAUGGAAUGUCCUAUAAAUAUCUAUUAAGUCCAUCUGGUGUAAUGCUUCACUCAGGGCCUGUAUUUCCUUAUUGAUUUUCUGUCUGGAUGAUUGGUCCAUUGCUGUAAGUGGGGCAUUAAAGUCCCCCACUAUUAUUGUGUUAUUGUCAAUUUCUCCUUUUAAGGUUUUUAGCAGUUGCCUUAUAUAUUGAGGUGAUCCUAUGUUGGGUAAAUAUAUAUUUACAGUUGUUAUAUCUUCUUCUUGGAUUGAUCUUUUGAUCAUUAGGUAAUGUCCUUCCUUAUAAUACUCUUUAUUUUAAGGUCUAUUUUGUCUGAUAUGAGUAUUGUUACUCCAGCUUUCUUUUGAUUCCUGUUUGCAUGGAAUAUUUUCUUCCAUCCUCUCACUUUCAAUUUAUAUAUGUCCCUAGGAGUGAAGUCAGUCUCUUGAAGACAGCAUAUAUAUGGAUCUUGUUUCUGUAUCCAUUCAGCCAGUUUAUGCCUUUUGGUUGGGGCAUUUACAUUUAAGGUAAUUAUUGAUAUGUAUGUUCUUAUUGCCAUUUUAUUAACUGUUUUGGACUUGUUUUUGUUGCUCUUUUUUCUUCCCUUCUUCUCUUGUUCUCUCCUCUUGUGGUUUGAUGAUUAUCUUUAGUGUUGUUGAUUUUUCUUAUUUGUGUGUGUAUCAAUUGUAGAUUUUUGGUUUGCAGUUAUCCUGAAGUUUUGACAUAGGAGUCUAUAUAUACACAUGAAAUUGUUUUAAGUUGUAGGCCUCUUAAUUGCAACUGCAUCUCUGGUGUCCUGCAUUUGUACUCUCCUCGUCUCAUGAUUUCUGAUUUUGGUAGCAUAUUUGUUUGUGGAUGGUUUCCUACCUUUACUGUAUAUAUGCCUUUACUGGUGAGCCUUGUCAUUUGUGGUUGCUAGCUGUGGCCUUUUCUUUUCUGCCUAAAGAAGUUCCUUUAGUACUUGUUGUAAAGCUGCUUUAGUGUUGCUGAAUUCUCUUAGCUUUUGCUUGUCUGUGAAGCUUUUGAUUUCUUCUUCAAAUCUGAAUGAGAGCCUUGCUGGGUAACUAAUCUUGGUUGGAGGUUCUGUUCUUUCAUCACAUCAAGUUAUCAUUCCACUCCCUUCCGGCCUGCAGAGUUUCUGCUGAAAAACCUGCCAAUAACUUUAUUGGGGUUCCCUUGUAUGUUAUUUGUUUCUUUUCCCUAGCUGGUUUCGAUAUUUUCUCUUUGUCUUUAAUUUUGGUCAGUUUGAUUAACAUGUGUCUCAGGAUGUUCCUCCUUGGGUUUAUUUUAUAUGGUAGUUAUUUUGUGCCCAUUUAUGAUUUUAAAAAUCUCUGAAAUAGACUGGGCAUUUGACUGGCACAUGCACACUGGUAUGUGGAGUGACUGGCCAGUGGGGACCUACUGUAUAGCACAGGGAACUCCACCCAAUAUAGAGUUUCCUGUGAGGUCUAUACAGGAAAAACAUCUGAAAAAGGAAGGAUGUGUGUACAUGUAUAAAUGAAUCAUUUUGUUGUACAGAAGAAAUCACAACAUUGUAAAUCAACUCUACUUCAAUAAAACUUUUAAAAAUGAAAGAAAAAAUCUCUGAAGUAGGAAUAGAGAGGAACUUUCUCAAUUUGAUAAAGCCACAAAAAUCCUAGUACUAACGUUAUACUUAAUGUUGAAAGACUGAAUGUUUUCCCCUUAGGACCAGGAAAAAGGCAAGGAUAUUCAUUCUCUCCACUCCAGUUCAACUUAAUGCUUGAAGUUCUAGCCAAGACAGUAAGGCAAGAAAAGACAAUAAAAGCUAUAUGAAUGAGAAAGGAAGACAUUACGUCUACAUAGGAAAUCCCAAGGAAUGAAUAUAUAUAUUUUAGAGCCACACCCAUGACAUGUGGAAGUUCCCAAGGUAGGGGUCAGAUUGGAGCUACAGCUACCGGCCUACACCACAGCCACAGAAACAUGGAAUCUGAGCUGCAUCUGUGACAUACACUACAGCUCAAGGCAAUGCCAGAUCCUUAACCUACUGAGACAGGCUAGGAAUCAAAUCUGCAUCUUCAUGGUUCCUAGUUGGGUUCAUUAACCACUGAGCCACAAAGGGAACUCCUAUAAAAAUAUUUUUAAAACCUCCUAGAAUUAAUAAGUGAAUUUAGCAAGGUUGCAGGAUACAAAAUAAAUAUACAAAAAUCAACUGUAUUUUUAUAUACUAUCAAUAAACAUGAGAACACUGAAAUUUAAAAUACUGUGCACAAUUGCUCAAAAAUAAAGUAGAAUACUCAAGUGUAAACCUAAUAAAACAUGGGCAGGACUGAAAACUGAAAACUACAAAAUACUAAUGAACGAAAUCAAAGAAGAUCUUUUUUUACAAAAAUGGAGAGACAUACCAUAUUCACAAAUUGGAAGAUUUCCUAUAGUAAAGAUGUCAGUUCUCCUCCAAUUGAUGUUCAGGUUUAACACAAUUCUUAUGAAAAUUCCGGCAAGGUAUUUUUUGUAAAUAUAAACAAAGUUAUUCUAAAAUUUGUAUAUAAAGGCAGAGGAGCUAGAAUAGCUAAAACACUGAAAAAGAAGAAUGAAGUAGGCGGAAUCUGUCUAUACAGUUUCAAGUCCUACUAUAGAGCUACUGUAACAAAGACUGUGGUAUUUGUGAAGGUAUAAACACAUAGAUCAAUGGAGCUGAGUAAAGAAUACAAAAAUAAACACAUUUAUUCCCAACUGAUUUUUGACAAAGGUGCCAAAGCAAUUUAAUGGAGGAAAGAUAGUCUUUUUAACAAAUAGUGCUAGAGCAAAUGAAUAUCCAUAGGUUAAAAAAAAAAACCUUGACCUAAGUCUCACAUCUUAUAUAAAGGUGAACUCAAAAUGAAUCACAGAUUCAAAUGUAAAAUAUAAAACUAAAAAUAUUUAUAAAAGAAUAUAAGAGAAAACUGUUAGGGUCUAGAACUAGGCAAAGAGUUUAGACUGGAUACCAAAAGUGUAAUCCGUUCAAGGAAAAACUGAUAAAUUGAACUUCAUAAAAAUUUAGAACUUUAAGCUCUGUGAAAGACUCUGUUAAGAAGAUGAAAAGACAAACUACAGACCAGGAUAAAUUAAUUGCAAAUCAUAUAUCCAACAAGUAAUUAGUAUAUAGAAUAUAUAAGAAACUCUUAAAACU
rnacentral:lncRNA from 1 species